UCCGAAUUGGUGUAGUGGCUAACAUUUGGUGCUCUCAUUUUCGUAACUGAUAAUAACUUGACAAAUCCGCCAAGCCCGGGGUUCAAUUCCCCGAUUCGGAG